GAUUUAAAACCUUGUAAAAUAUGGAAUGAGGUCACAUCCUGAGAAAAUGAGGGAAUCCUUUAAGGCCUAGAAGAAUGUCGAUUUGAAUUUGGCGUGAUACCAGAAAGAUCUUUUGAGGUUUAUAUAUGACCUUCAAAGGCUGAAGCUGCAAAUUCUGAUGAGGGCCUACUUGGAACUCGGUGUUUGGGGUGUGGAGCACAGUUCUGGGUUCUCUUCUCAGUUCACAACUCCACCAGAGCACCACUCCAAGCCACACAUGUCUGCCCAUCGUGUGUCUUUCAUUCCAAAGUGCAUUGUGACUCACUGAGAACAUCAGUCCCUGCUCCAGAACAUUCUAGACCCUCCACUUAGGAGGAUUUGAUAACACCCGUGGGAAAGAAACAAGACUGUACAGCCCUGCUUUUUGUAGCCUUCUCUUAGCAGCCUGUGCCACAGGAAGUGGUAAGGAGAUCUCUGGCAAGUACUAGAAGUUGCCCUAUCACCACCACCACCACCCCCAGCCGAUUUCCCUUCUCUCUCCCCUGCUCUUCCUACGUAUGAUCUCCCCAGGAAGUGGGGUGUCGCAUGGCGUCUGAAAUGCUAUUUUUAAAGGCAUUGGAAUGAAAAGGCUGGGAACGGCGCUCGGUCGGUAGAGUGCUCGCUAUACAAGCAUGAGGAACAGAGUUUGAUCCCCAGCAUCCACAUAAAAAAAGGUGGUCGGAGCAGCAUGUCCUUGUAGUCCCAGCAGAUGAGAGGCAGAGACUGGCAGACCUCUGGCACUCGCUAGGCAUCCAGCAGCCAAGAGGUGGAUCAGGAAUGGCAUGGAGAAAAGUGACAUGAUGUGAACUAGGACCUAGAGAGAAGGUCUCAACACUGUCCUUUGCAGCCAAAGCUUGAGUAACAGCUAACCCAGCUGUUCUGUCUAAAUUGUCAACUGGAGCAAGAAGCCAGGAGACAAGGAGUUAAUGCAAAGAUUCGGGAAUGCUAUACCUGGUCCCUCUGUGCCACCACCCUCUGUGAUCCCGGAAGGGACAAUGCCCUUCUACUUAGCACCUCCAUGUUCCAAGAGAAAGAAAGGGGAGCUGGAGUCCAGCAGACUUGGAAAUCCUGGGCAGAACUUCAUCUCUGGACCCCAGAGCUAGAAACACUGGGGAAAGCUGAGAUCUCACACUGUUGGAGAUUGGUUCUCAUGCUUUGAUUCAAUCAGGAACCUGCAUGUCCAAACAGCAAGGUCCUUGUCACCAAUUGGUUUUUGAUCAAUCAAUAAAGAUGCCAGCACCAAUGGUUGGGCAAAGGGAAAUGGGGUGGGACCCUUAGAAUUGUGCGGCUCGGACUCGGGAGAGAGGAGGAGACGCUGAAUCACCACCACUGGGGGAGAGAGACAGAUCAGAUUUAGAGCUACAGAGGGAAGAUCAUCCGAAAUGUAAGGGUAAAGGGAAGGUUCCCUGGAAGGGCAGCCCAGAAGCAGACCAAUGGGCCUCACAGAAGGUAACAGGGCAGCAAAGUUAAAAGUAGAUUUAGAAGAUGUUGAGCCAGGAGUUCCAGAGGGUAAAGCAUACUAGCAGAGGGAGGCUCAGAACUGCCAAACCCUUGAGUAGCCAAGGCACUUCAAAAAUAAACUAAUGUGUGUGUGUCUUUCAUUCUCAGAACCAAAGAGUUCUUGGUCAGGUGGCUAGAAGUGUGCUCCCAGAUGCUACAACACGGGAGAGAAAAAAACUAAAGUAGCAAGAGAGAAGGUUCCUGGGUGCCCGCAUUGCUGAUAACCAGCAGCAUCUGACAGAAUGGGCAACAAGUUAGCAACUGUUUUGUGGGGCUUCCUACUACACGAGCAACGAAUGUAUAUUGUCAUUUAAGACAUAAAAAUGUAAAAAUAUAAGCUGGAGACGGCUCAAAGCGAAGAAAGAAAAGGAAGAUCAGACACCUGCAGCAGAGGGUUUGGAUCAGAAACCUGAACUGAGGUCGGCCUACUUCAUCCAGUACGCUGAUUCUCACUUGGGACAAGAGAUGAGGUUUCAGGAGUUUGAG
rnacentral:lncRNA from 1 species